rnacentral:rRNA from 1 species
GUGCCUACGGGGGGCAGCAGUGGGGAAUAUUGGGCAAUGGGCGCAAGCCUGACCCAGCAACGCCGCGUGAAGGAAUAAGGCCCUACGGGUCGUAAACCUCUUUUGCCGGGGAGCAAGGGCCGGGACGAGUCCCGGUCCGGAGAGUACCCGGAGAAAAAGCAUCGGCUAACUCCGUGCCAGCAGCCGCGGUAAUACGGAGGAUGCGAGCGUUAUCCGGAUUUAUUGGGUUUAAAGGGUGCGUAGGCGGGCUUUUAAGUCAGCGGUAAAAAUUCGGGGC